GAUGAAGAACGCAGCGAAAUGCGAUAAGUAAUGUGAAUUGCAGAAUUCAGUGAAUCAUCGAAUCUUUGAACGCACAUUGCGCCCCUUGGUAUUCCGAGGGGCAUGCCUGUUCGAGCGUCAUUACACCACUCAAGCUAUGCUUGGUAUUGGGCGUCGUCCUUAGUUGGGCGCGCCUUAAAGACCUCGGCGAGGCCACUCCGGCUUUAGGCGUAGUAGAAUUUAUUCGAACGUCUGUCAAAGGAGAGGAACUCUGCCGACCGAAACCUUUAUUUUUCUAGGUUGACCUCGGAUCAGGUAGGGAUACCCGCUGAACUUAAGCAUAUCAAUAAGCGGAGGA
rnacentral:misc_RNA from 1 species